rnacentral:rRNA from 1 species
AGCGAACGCUGGCGGCGUGCUUAACACAUGCAAGUCGAGCGAAGGUGUUUCAAGGGUAACCUUGAGAUACACUUAGCGGCGGACGGGUGAGUAAUACGUGGAUAACUUACCUCUAGGGCCUGGGAUAACCCCGGGAACGUAGGGCGUAAUACCUCGAUAAGACCACAUUGUCUACGGACAAAGGGUAAAGGUAGGCUGUGCAAACAAGCUAUCG